GCCAGUAGCCAUACCACCUGCAGUUCAGACUAGGUAAUCCGACUGAAACUAAGCAGGUUUGGGCCUGGCCUGUACUUGGAUGGGAGACCAAAUAGGAAAAGCUGGGGUGCUGCUGCAA
rnacentral:rRNA from 1 species